rnacentral:rRNA from 1 species
CCUGUUCCCAUUCCGAACACAGAAGUUAAGCUCUCUAGCGCUGAUGGUACUUGGUGGGAAACCGCCUGGGAGAGUAGGACAUAGCCAGGUA